rnacentral:rRNA from 1 species
CAAUAGCGUAUAUUAAAGUUGUUGCAGUUAAAAAGCUCGUAGUUGAACUUCAGACCUGGCUGGGCGGUCCGCCUCACGGUGUGUACUGUCCGGCUGGGCCUUACCUCUUGGUGAGCCGGCAUGCCCUUCAUUGGGUGUGUCGGGGAACCAGGACUUUUACCUUGAGAAAAUUAGAGUGUUCAAAGCAGGCAAUCGCCCGAAUACAUUAGCAUGGAAUAAUAAAAUAGGACGUGCGGUUCUAUUUUGUUGGUUUCUAGAGUCGCCGUAAUGAUUAAUAGGGACAGUUGGGGGCAUUAGUAUUCAGUCGUCAGAGGUGAAAUUCUUGGAUUGACUGAAGACUAACUAUUGCGAAAGCAUUUGCCAAGGAUGUUUUCAUUAA